AUUGAACGCUGGCGGCAGGCCUAACACAUGCAAGUCGAACGAGUGGCGGACGGGUGAGUAAUGUCUGGGAAACUGCCUGAUGGAGGGGGAUAACUACUGGAAACGGUAGCUAAUACCGCAUACCAUCGGAUGUGCCCAGAUGGGAUUAGCUAGUAGGUGGGGUAACGUCUCCCCGAGGCGACGAUCCCUAGCUGGUCUGAGAGGAUGACCAGCAAAACUGAAACUGCGACACGGUCCAGACUGCUACGGGAGGCAGCAGUGGGGAAUAGUGCACAAUGGGCGCAAGCCUGAUGCAGCCAUGCCGCGUGUGUGAAGAAGGCCUUCGGGUUGUAAAGCACUUUCAGCGUGGAGGCGUUACCCGCAGAAGAAGCACCGGCUAACGCAGAGCCAGCAGCCGCGGUAAUAC
rnacentral:rRNA from 1 species